CCUACGGGUGACAGCAGUGAGGAAUAUUGGUCAAUGGGCGAGAGCCUGAACCAGCCAAGUCGCGUGAGGGAGUACUGCCCUAUGGGUUGUAAACCUCUUUUGUCGGGGAGCAAAAGCCGGACGUGUCCGGCUGUGAGAGUACCCGAAGAAAAAGCAUCGGCUAACUCCGUGCCAGCAGCCGCGGUAAUACGGAGGAUGCGAGCGUUAUCCGGAUUUAUUGGGGUUAAAGGGUGCGCAGGCGGACUUUUAAGUCAGCGGUCAAAUCGUGGGGCUCAACCCCAUCCAGCCGUUGAAACUGGGGAUCUAGAGUGUGCGAGAGGUAUGCGGAAUGCGUGGUGUAGCGGUGAAAUGCAUAGAUAUCACGCAGAACCCCGAUUGCGAAGGCAGCAUACCGGUGCACAACUGACGCUCAGGCACGAAAGCGUGGGGAGCAAACAGGAUUAGAUACCCCUGUAGUC
rnacentral:rRNA from 1 species